CAUAGUGCCCUUUAUUUAGUCAAUAUAGUCAAGUCAAGAUAGUGGAACGUAAACUCGAAGGUUUAAUACAAUACGUUAUUAACAAGUAGAACCAUGGCAACCAGUUCUGAUGAUGUACCAGAAUGGCUCAAGGAUCAUACUUAUACUAUUUCUACUCUCUGGGCAUCCAUUCAAUAUUUAAUUUAUGUUUGAAAAUGCAAGAAAAAGGCAUGCACUCCUGAAAAGUCAAUGAUUGGUUGCACCUCUUAAAGAUAACUUUCUGUUAUGAGAAAAGAUGAGAUUCUUGGACUCCUGCAUAGCACCACCAGAAAGGAAAAUCCCAUCAUGUUGCAAAAUAAAAGUCUUGGACCAAUUUUAAUUUAAGAUAUAUAUAUUAUACUGUAAGCUGUAUACAUAUUUAUGUAUAUCCUGUCAUUCAGCCAACAGGUUUGGAUUUAGUAUUUCUUUAAAUCUGUUCGAUAUUGUACUUGAAAACUAUUAAUCUGAGCCCCAUUAAAACAAGAGGGAGUGCAGUGGAUGAGUGGUAAGGGAAAUUUUACUUUUUUUAAAUUAAAAUAAGAAUCUAACAAAAGUAAACAUAUAAAAUAUGGUGCAUUCUCCUUAAAACUAAAACCUGGUGCAAAGGUUUAAAAUGUUGCCAAAAAAAGGCAACAUCAAUUAAAUAUUCUUAAUUCCCUUUGCAAAACUUACUGAGAAGAACAUGCAAGUUGUUCCCUCAUAAGUUUCUUGACAGAGGAAAUCUUGUUUAUAUUAGAUU